GAUGAACGCUGGCGGCGUGCCUAAUACAUGCAAGUCGAGCGAACGGACGAGAAGCUUGCUUCUCUGAUGUUAGCGGCGGACGGGUGAGUAACACGUGGAUAACCUACCUAUAAGACUGGGAUAACUUCGGGAAACCGGAGCUAAUACCGGAUGAUAUUUUGAACCGCAUGGUUCAAAAGUGAAAGACGGCCUUGCUGUCACUUAUAGAUGGAUCCGCGCUGCAUUAGCUAGUUGGUAAGGUAACGGCUUACCAAGGCAACGAUGCAUAGCCGACCUGAGAGAGGGAUCGGCCACACUGGAACUGAGACACGGUCCAGACUCCUACGGGAGGCAGCAGUAGGGAAUCUUCCGCAAUGGGCGAAAGCCUGACGGAGCAACGCCGCGUGAGUGAUGAAGGUCUUCGGAUCGUAAAACUCUGUUAUUAGGGAAGAACAUAUGUGUAAGUAACUGUGCACAUCUUGACGGUACCUAAUCAGAAAGCCACGGCUAACUACGUG
rnacentral:rRNA from 1 species